rnacentral:lncRNA from 1 species
CUCAAAUGUACACCCAAGAAAGCGGCACCGCGUAAAGACGCUGGCGCAAAAGGAUGUGCCCUCGGCAAAAGUGAUGCCGAUGAGGUCAACGCCGGUGAGCGCAGCCGCGUGAAAGCCUGGACGACCAGAUGCGAUCGCCAUGGCCGUCUUGAAAUGGUCAUAGGGCGUCGCGGCGCGGGCGCGACAAUCGGCGACGAGCACGGCCGUCACCAUCGCAUGCCAUGCGCCACCAACGUCAUACCAGCAGAUGUCGUCAUACGGGCGUCGCUCCACGGGCGCAUACACAUUGCGUACGGCACCAAAAGACCGCUUGGCCACGUAGGCGACCUCGGUCGGAGCGAGGCCGGCGGCCGUCCACGCCGGAUCAAACCGCAGCGUGCGGCAUUCAGGAAAAGUCGCCCAGUGCGGCGGUGGCUCCUCGUCGACGCCCAUACAUCUGCCCAGCGUGCGCAGCCAGGCCUUGGCGGCGCGGUCCCACAUCAAGGACCCACCGCGCGUUAUGACACACUUGGCGACGGGCACACUUGUAUGUGUGAGCCGGCAGUGGACCUCGCUGGGCCUGCCCGUGUGCGUCCUCUGCGACAGCGGGCGCUCCAGGGGUUCCUUGAGGGCGUGGUCAAAGAGCGGUCUGCCGUCCAAGGCCAGUGGUCCCGUGGGCUCCAACGCAUAGUCGGUCAUGGCGUCGGUCCAGGGCAAGAGGCGCGCGGCCAAAAGGCGCACAAACCUGACAAAGUCGUCGGGCGCGCGUGCCGGCUCGGGGUAGUAGAUGACGUUGGUGGGCGAUCGCGAACCCGACCACGGCAGCGAUGUGGCGGGGUCGGUCGUGCCUGCGGUACAGGGGCUUUCAAGACGAACGCACAGCGUCUCGUAGGUUGUGCGCUUGCUCAGAAUAGCCGUGUCAUGGCUCACAGGGCCGAGUGUCUUGUCGGUGCAGCACACGAGAUCGCAACCCCAUAGAUUCCAUUCACUCCACCAUUCGGCGCAGGCCAGGGGCGAUCCUGGGCGUGUGCGUGUGACCGUGCCCGUCGGCGAGCCACGGUCCCACGUGUCGCAGGCGAGACGAGUCCCAUCGACGAGGGUCAAGACGCCGCGGCCCGUUGGCAUCGUCGCAUAGGAGACCGACGGCGCCCGGCACGGUUGCUCAAACACGGACCCGUCCACGUAUUCGAUCCUGGUUCGCUUGCCCGUGUCGCGAUCAUUGCGGCACCAGAGGCCGACAGAGCGCACGCGCGGAUCGCCGAUCAUCGCCCAGUCGACCGUGGUCCCCCAUGUAAAGUCGCACUCGUAGCAGAGGCCACUACUAGGAGUCUGGUCGCCGAGUUUCGAAAACACGCACCAACCUUGAUUGCGCCCGGCAACCCAUCCACCGGCGCAGUGGAUAUGCGAAAUGCAACAUGUGGCCACGCCGCGCCCGUGGCGGGCGCCGCCCUUCCAGGCGCCCACAUAGGAGCACUGGCCCGACACGUCGACGGAUUCGCCGGGGCCGUGGGCCAUGCCGCGACGCCACUGACACGUCAUCGUGCUGCCGUACGUACGGCGGACCCCGUGGCCGUGCCAGAGGCCGUCCUCCCACGUCCCGGCGUACCAGCGAGCGUUCUCGGUAGGCGUCGACAAAUGGUCGGCGGCCUCGACGCCAAAGCCCUGGAUGCGAUGGGCGGCGUCAAACCAGCCGUGCACCGAGCACGCGCGGACUGCCGGAAGGCCUGG